GAGACCUCAGGUCAGGCGGGGCUACCCGCUGAGUUAAGCAUAUCAAUAAGCGGA
rnacentral:rRNA from 1 species